ensembl:lncRNA
GCCAGUGACAUCACUGACAGUGAUAUUGACAGUCUUGGACCUGUGGAGGAAUUGUUGACCAGGAAUGUUAACCCAUCUGAUGCCAAUGCUGAUGGCAUGUCUCAGCUGCCUUCUGCUGGAGGAAAGCAGAUUUAUAAGACCUGGAAGUGGUUUUGCCUUCCCAGAAUGAAGAUCAGCAGCAAGUUCAAAAGAACCGGGAAACCAAAGAACCAUUCGGAAAAAGAUGUUUUCCCUACCAAAAAGAUGUGGCGUUUCCUAACCAGAAUGCCUAAAAUACCCAAGAUCAGGAUCAAGGUGUUUAUGAAUAGAACAGAACCAGUGGACCAAUCUCAGCACAAUGUGCAGCCUACCAAAUGCAUCAGCCAGUCUCGUAUUUCACUCGAAGUUCUAUCAACAUCUCCACCAAAGGAGGACCCAACACCCAAACCACCUUCUGCUGCCCAGGGGUCCCAGUCCCGUAAAUGUCCAUUCCUGCUCUCCAUGUUCCGGGGUUUCUUCAGACCAAUCAGCUGCUUUUCUAGCAAGAAGGACUAGAAACAUGUCUGCUUUGAUUUGUG